GCCCUGACUCCAUUUGUCUCCCAGACAUGCCUAGAGGUGGAUAAGGAGAUGGUGUUUCUGAAAUGAAGUCUCUGCCCUCCUGAGGUUACCUCCCUGUUGAUUGCCAAGGGAGAAAGUACAGACAAUGUUAUUUACUUUAUUCUAAAUGGCUGUAGUCAGCUAUCUGGAAGAUUGCUCUUCAUCCUGUUAUACUGGGCAGUGCAGCAGAGUGAGAGGGGAGCAGAGACAGCACACAACUGGCCUGAGAAGUGCUCCACAUUUUUGUGGCUGUGUGACCCUCCCCUGCUCUCACUCAGACCUGCGGCAGCUGGAGAGACUGGACGUGGUGUUCUGAUGCAGCUGGAGAGGCAGCUGCGAUGAAAAUGAGAACUUCUGAAAAAGAUUUUGGAUUUCUCUAAAUCCAAAAGGACACCCAGUAUGUUUUCUGAGCUCAUGGAUGUUUUGCAAGAGUUAUGAGUGAUGGCAGAGACAUAUUUUGCAGUCAAGUCUUCUGGAAGCCAGUUGGGAGUUUUGGUUGAGUAAGAAUUUGCAUUAAAGUUCUGGAUCUGA